rnacentral:rRNA from 1 species
CCUACGGGAGGCAGCAGUAGGGAAUCUUUCACAAUGGGCGAAAGCCUGAUGGAGCAACGCCGCGUGCAGGCUGAAGGCCUUCUGGUUGUAAACUGCUUUUAUCAGCGAGAACUAUGCUGGUAACUUCUGAAUACGGAUCGGCUACCUCCGUGCCAGCAGCCGCGGUCAUACGUAGGAUCCGAGCAUUAUCCGGAGUGACUGGGUGUAAAGAGUUGCGUAGGUGGCAUAAUAAGUAGCUAGUGAAAUCUGGUGGCUCAACCAUUCAGACUAUUAGCUAAACUGUUAAGCUCGAGACCGUUAGGGGUAACUGGAAGUUCUAGUGUAGGAGUGAAAUCCGUAGAUAUUAGAAGGAACACCAAUAGCGGAGGCAGGUUGCUGGGACGGGUCUGACACUAAGGCACGAAAGCGUAGGGAGCAAACGGGAUUAGAUACCCCGGUAGUC